UUUCUGUGUUCGCAGUGGUCGGAAGUAUUCUCGGCAUGUCUAGCAGCAUAUUCAUUAUAAACAUAACAGACAACAGACCAAACUCUGAAAAUGGAUCUUGUAACAACAUACAAACCUCUGAAAUUAGACCCUCAAGGACUGAACAAAUGAAAGAAGAAACAGAAGAUCUGAUUGUUCCGAAUGUUACCACCAUCUUAUAAACGAUUACUUCAUGAGAGAAACUUAAAUAAAUUCAG